rnacentral:rRNA from 1 species
UACGGGGGGGGCAAGCGUUGUUCGGAAUUACUGGGCGUAAAGGGCUCGUAGGCGGCCAACUAAGUCAGACGUGAAAUCCCUCGGCUUAACCGGGGAACUGCGUCUGAUACUGGAUGGCUCGAGUUUGGGAGAGGGAUGCGGAAUUCCGGGUGUAGCGGUGAAAUGCGUAGAUAUCUGGAGGAACACCGGUGGCGAAGGCGGCAUCCUGGACCAACACUGACGCUGAUGAGCGAAAGCCAGGGGAGCAAACGGG